rnacentral:rRNA from 1 species
AGCGAACGCUGGCGGCAGGCUUAACACAUGCAAGUCGAGCGCCCCGCAAGGGGAGCGGCUGCCGGGAGGGUAACAGGGGGGAACAUACCUAUUGGUUCGGAACAACUCAGGGAAACUUCAGCUAAUACGGGACAAGCUCUUAAGGGGAAAGAUUUAUCGCCGAACGGUUGGCCCGCGUCUGAUUAGCUAGUUGGUGAGGUAACGUCUCACCAAGGCGACGAUCAGAAGUUGGUCAGAGAGUAACAUCAGCCACACUUGGACUAGGCCACGGCCGAGACUCCUACGGGAGGCAGGAGAGGGGGAUAUUGGACAAUGGGGGCAACGCUGAUCCAGCCAUGCCGCGUGAGUGAUGUAGGCCUUAGGGUUGUAAAGCUCUUUUGCCCGUGAACGUAAUGACGGUACCGGGUCAGUAAGCCACGGCUAACUUCGUG